UACGGAGGGUGCAAGCGUUAUCCGGAUUCACUGGGUUUAAAGGGUGCGUAGGUGGAUUGGUAAGUCAGUGGUGAAAUCUCCGGGCUUAACUCGGAAACUGCCAUUGAUACUAUCAGUCUUGAAUACCGUGGAGGCAAGUAGAAUAUGUCAUGUAGCGGUGAAAUGCUUAGAUAUGACAUAGAAUACCAAUUGCGAAGGCAGCUGGCUACGCGAAUAUUGACACUCAGGCACGAAAGCGUGGGGAUCAAACAGG
rnacentral:rRNA from 1 species